rnacentral:tRNA from 1 species
CGCCGCCUACGACGUGGACGUCGUGGGCGGUUACGACGCCGGCGUGGUCUCCGGCUACGACGCCGGCUGCGACUCCGGCUGCGGUGGC